CUGGUUGAUCCUGCCAGUAGUCAUAUGCUUGUCUCAAAGAUUAAGCCAUGCAUGUCUAARAAUAAGCCCUUGAACGGUGAAUCUGCGAAUGGCUCAUUAAAUCAGUUAUUGUUUAUUUGAUGGUACCUUACUACUUGGAUAACCGUAGUAAUUCUAGAGCUAAUACAUGCGCCAAGCCCUGACUUCGGAAAGGGUGCAUUUAUUAGAUUCAAACCAUCGGUCCGUCUGGGCAACUGGGCGUGGCCUUUGAUGGUGAGUCAUAAUAACUUAGCGAAUCGAAUGGCCUUGAGCCGUCGAUGCUUCAUUCAAAUUUCUGCCCUAUCAGCUUUCGAUGGUAGGAUCUUGGCCUACCAUGGCUAUAACGGGUAACGGGGAAUUAGGGUUCGAUUCCGGAGAGGGAGCUUGAGAAACGGCUACCACAUCCAAGGAUGGCAGCAGGCGCGCAAAUUACCCAAUCCCGACACGGGGAGGUAGUGACAAUAAAUAACGAUGCUGGAUUAUUCUUAAUCCGGCAAUUGGAAUGAGAGUGAAUUAAAUCUCCACUCGAGGAACCAUUGGAGGGCAAGUCUGGU
rnacentral:rRNA from 1 species